rnacentral:rRNA from 1 species
GUGCCAGCAUCUGCGGUUAAUCUGUUUUCUUUGCUUUUGUGUGGAUUAUGCGUAUUUAUUUAUGUGCAAUGUUAGGUUAAAUUUUUUUGUGACAGUGUGUGGUAAAUAGGUUUUGUUAUGAUAUAUAUGAUGACAGGGAUUAGAUACCCCAUUAAUGUAUUUUGUAAAGUUGUUCUAGUUUUGUAACUAAAAUGGUUUGGCAGUGAGCGAUUCUUAUUAGGGGAAUAUGCAUAGUGAAGGAUGGUCCACCUAUUAGUUUACUCUUUUUAUGUUGGUGUAUGUCUGGUUUGAUAUUAUUGUUGAAUAAUUUAAGUUUGUGUAGUUUUAGUUAAGCUAAGUCUAUGUGCUGCUUAUGGGAGUUUUUGUGUGUUACAUUAAUAAGGGUGUUAUUGUAAGAUGAUGUGAUUUAGGACUUAAUAG